AUUGAACGCUGGCGGCAUGCCUUACACAUGCAAGUCGAACGGCAGCACGGGUGCUUGCACCUGGUGGCGAGUGGCGAACGGGUGAGUAAUACAUCGGAACAUGUCCUGUAGUGGGGGAUAGCCCGGCGAAAGCCGGAUUAAUACCGCAUACGAUCCACGGAUGAAAGCGGGGGACCUUCGGGCCUCGCGCUAUAGGGUUGGCCGAUGGCUGAUUAGCUAGUUGGUGGGGUAAAGGCCUACCAAGGCGACGAUCAGUAGCUGGUCUGAGAGGACGACCAGCCGCACUGGGACUGAGACACGGCCCAGACUCCUACGGGAGGCAGCAGUGUGGAAUUUUGGACAAUGGGCGAAAGCCUGAUCCAGCAAUGCCGCGUGUGUGAAGAAGGCCUUCGGGUUGUAAAGCACUUUUGUCCGGAAAGAAAUCCUUGACUCUAAUACAGUCGGGGGAUGACGGUACCGGAAGAAUAAGCACCGGCUAACUACGUG
rnacentral:rRNA from 1 species